rnacentral:rRNA from 1 species
GAUGAACGCUAGCGGCAGGCCUAAUACAUGCAGGUCGGACGGGAUUCAGGAGCUUGCUUCUGAUGAGAGUGGCGCACGGGUGCGUAACACGUAUGUAACCUACCUUUAUCAGGGGGAUAGCCUCUCGAAAGAGAGAUUAAGCCCGCAUAAAAUCACAGCACAGCAUUGUGUAAUGAUCAAAUAUUUAUAGGAUAAAGAUGGGCAUGCGGAACAUUAGCUAGAUGGCGGGGUAACGGCCCACCAUGGCGACGAUGUUUAGGGGAUCUGAGAGGAUGGCCCCCCACACUGGGACUGAGACACGGACCAGACUCCUACGGGAGGCAGCAGUAAGGAAUAUUGGUCAAUGGGAGGAAGCCUGAACCAGCCAUGCCGCGUGCAGGAAGACGGCCCUACGGGUUGUAAACUGCUUUUAUACGGGAAUAAACCCAGAUACGUGUAUCUGGCUGAAUGUACUGUAAGAAUAAGGAUCGGCUAACUCCGUG